AUUUAUUGAUACAUUUCCGGCUUACUUUUAAUGUGAAUUUUCAUUCUGUUCAGAGGAGAUGGAGAUUUUGACAUUUCUUGUACUAUUUUGUUUUUCUAAAGCGCGGGCACAGCUGGAGGCAUUUUACCAUCCAUUGUCUUGGUCAACAGCAAAAUCAAAAUGUGGGGAUAGGGGAGGUUAUCUCGCUCAGUUACAAACUUCAUCAAAGGUGAUAGACCUGACACGGUUGGACGCUGUAUUCCGUCCAGAGGCCAUAUACUGGGUCGGCGGUCAUCUCCAAGACAAUGGUUGGAAUCUCUAUGACAACCGGUGUCACAAUAACCAAAGUAACCCAGGUACGCCAGAUGGCAGACCAUCAAAAGAAUUGAUCGUUUACAAGGGCUGCUUUCGAUCUACCCUUAUUAAGGGAGGAAUUCCACUGAAAAAUAUCAACGCCAGAGACUGUUUUGAACAAUGUGGUUGGACGGGAACAGUUGGCCUAUACAGUACGAUGUGUUUGUGUGACCAUCAUUUACACCAGCUGACGCGUCUCCCAGAGGCUGACUGUGACAUUCGAUGUACUCGCUGUGACACUGACACUUGUGGUGGAAUAAAGGGCGUGUCUGUAUAUAGCUGUAAGUGGAGCACUGCGAGCAACCUCUCACGUUCACACUGACACUCAGAGAGUUACAUAAGAGGAAAUGACAUGCAUAACAAUAGUAUUCAUAUCAACUGAUCACUUGGGUUUUGAGACGUUCACAGCGGAAUAUAUCUUACUUUUUACAGAUAAUUGUUAGUAAAGAUAAGUCUGCGUCUGGUAAUACCUUUUUGUAUUGAUUACGAAAAAGUUAUACACAUGUAGAAUUUUUACACCCUUUUAAUUCUUUCUCCUAUGAUGAAAUCAUAAUAACGAGUUCAUAUUUUUAUACUGUCUAGUAAGAUAGCGCAUUAAUUAUGCACUUUUAUAAUCGAUGUCUUUUCAAAACUAGUAGAUGUUAAUUGAUACUUUUCCUAUUUUAGACCGUCAAGGGCAAACAAGUUAUGCAUAUCAACAAUGGAUGUUUAUUGUUAAUCAAAUUAACUUUUUUUUCAUUAAAACCGUUUUUAAAGACAAAAAGAGUGUGAUAGAAAUCGUAGGGAACCAAACGGACGGGGAAAUGUGUGCCUACAUCCAUAUAGAUCAGUCAGGGGAGAGGACCAUGCGGCCCGCGGACUGUCUCACUCACCUGAAGUACCUCUGUCGAUUUGACAGCAAUUCAUACUGCGGCGGCAGCACCCACUGCUUCCGGCCGUCCUUCACUCCAGACACGUGGUCCAAGGCUUGGAAGACCUGUCAUUCCCUGAACGGAAGCCUAGCGUCUAUCAACAUUGACGAUGAUCUACCGACUGGAAAGUUCUGGGUGGCCAUCAAAAAGGACGUUCAAUGGCGGUGGUUGGAUGGUAGCUUGAUUUCACCAUCUCAGCUGACCACGUGGACAGUUUCAGGAAGUUCCGUAACAAAAUCUACCGGAAGCUGUUUAGCACUCCGUGUUUCCUCCAAAGACGAGGCCAUAUUGACGACGGUUCCAUGUAACAGGACACUCGGGUUCCUUUGUCAGUAUGGAUCCCUGAAGAAAGAGGAAUUCCUCUCCACGUCCAUUGAUCUGAAUGUUGUAGUGAAUAACACCGAUCCAUACAACACCACCUCAGCUGGACAGGAACCAAAGAGAGAAAAGUUACUUCUUACAAUUUUGUAUCUGGGGAUCGGGGUUGUGUCUGGAGUAGCCUUUGUGUUUGCAAUUGGCGUUUUCAUUUAUAUGGCAAGGCGGUGUUGUGUAUCAAAUUCGGAUUUUAAGCCCUUGAAAUCUUAUAACCAAAAACCAGAAAUAAUUCAUUGCAAAGAACUUGGAGAAUGGCGAAACGAUGUUGAGGUACGCCAUGGCGCAAGAAGAGAGGUGCGACCUGAAAGUGAAAUUCUAGGGGAAUGGCCGAAGGAGGGAGAAACGCUGGGAGACUGGCACAGAACAGAGGAAAAGAUGGUGGAAGUGCGUAGUGGGGGUGACCUAGUGUAUGACGUUCCCUCGGAAAAUCGAAAUGAGGCUCUUUUCAGACAAAACCAGCGAAUCAUCAAGCAAGGUUCGUGGCGAUGUGGUAACGAAUUACAUGUACAGGUACCAAGGAAAACUUCCACAGGGUCCUGGCGUGAGGGUCGUCUAAAGGAGCGACCUGUGAUGGGCUGUGAAAUUCUAAACACGUACCCUAGUCAGGAACGGGAUUUCCGGGAUAUAAGCUAUGCCAUCCACAGAGGCCAAAACGAUUACCAGAGGCGUCAAAGAGAAAACGGCAACAUCAUCAUAGACACGGACUACGAGGAAAGGGACCUCGACAUGAGACUACGUCAGCCGAUGCCCCCGCCGCCCGCCAACGAGGUGUUCCUAGCAGACACGUACAGCUUUCCUGUGAGGAACAGACAGUCCGCCGGUGAAAUCCACAUGGAUCCCAACGAACUGUACGCCACGGUUCACAGGGCCGUGUAUAGAGAUGAAGAUAACGCCGAUCAAAUGGUGUCAAUGGUGUGAAGCAUCUGCAUGAAUAGUAGCAUUACCCGAUCUAACUUAUGUUCAAUUUAUUCGUGUAAAGUAACAGUAAUAAACUCAUUAUUUGAAUCA
rnacentral:misc_RNA from 1 species